CCUACGGGUGACUGCAGUGGGGGAUAUUGCACAAUGGGGGGAACCCUGAUGCAGCGACGCCGCGUGGGUGAAGGAGAGUUUCGGCGCGUAAAGCCCGAUCGGCAGGGAAGAAGAUGACGGUACCUGACCAAGAAGCCCCGGCUAACUACGUGCCAGCAGCCGCGGUAAUACGUAGGGGGCAAGCGUUAGCCGGAUUUACUGGGUGUAAAGGGGGCGCAGACGGCAAUGCAAGCCAGGAGUGAAAGCCCGGGGCCCAACCCCGGGACUGCUCUUGGAACUGCAUGGCUGGAGUACAGGAGGGGCAGGCGGCAUUCCUCUUGUAGCGGUGAACUGCGUCGAUAUUAGGCG
rnacentral:rRNA from 1 species